rnacentral:rRNA from 1 species
CCUACGGGAGGCAGCAGUGGGGAAUAUUGGGCAAUGGAGGCAACUCUGACCCAGCAACGCCGCGUGUAUGAUGAAGGUCUUCGGAUUGUAAAGUUCUGUGAUGGGGGAUGAACACAAUGACGGUACUCCAAUCGCAAGCCACGGCUAACUACGUGCCAGCAGCCGCGGUAAUUCGUAGGUGGCAAGCGUUAUCCGGAAUGACUGGGCGUAAAGGUCGCGUAGGUGGGUUAGUAAGUCGUCGGUGUAAUUCCAGGGCUGAACCUGGGGACUACCGCCGAAACUAGUAGACUAGAGGGGAGGAGGGGGAAGUAGAAGUCCAAGGGUAGCGGUGGAAUGCGUAGAUAUUAGGAGGAACAUCAGGGGCGAAGGCGACCUACUGGACAAUGACUGACACUGAGGCACGAAAGCGUGGGGAGCAAACAGGAUUAGAUACCCCUGUAGUC